GACGAACGCUGGCGGCGUGCUUAACACAUGCAAGUCGAACGGAAAGGCCCUGCUUUUGUGGGGUGCUCGAGUGCCGAACGGGUGAGUAACACGUGAGUAACCUGCCCUUGACUUUGGGAUAACUUCAGGAAACUGGGGCUAAUACCGGAUAGGAGCUCCUGCUGCAUGGAGGGGGUUGGAAAGUUUCGGCGGUUGGGGAUGGACUCGCGGCUUAUCAGCUUGUUGGUGGGGUAGUGGCUUACCAAGGCUUUGACGGGUCGCCGGCCUGAGAGGGUGAACGGCCACAUUGGGCCUGAGAUACGGCCCAGACUCCUACGGGAGGCAGCAGUGGGGAAUAUUGCACAAUGGGCGGAAGCCUGAUGCAGCAACGCCGCGUGCGGGAUGACGGCCUUCGGGUUGUAAACCGCUUUCGCCUGUGACGAAGCGUGAGUGACGGUAAUGGGUAAAGAAGCACCGGCUAACUACGUG
rnacentral:rRNA from 1 species